AGGUCAUUUUGGGGGCAAAUAUUCCCUAUUAGACCUUUAUAGUGCUCCCAUGCUUCAUAUAACGACUCCUCCAAUUGUUGUUCAAAAUUGGCAAUGGCCUUUUUGAGCUU